rnacentral:rRNA from 1 species
AUUGAACGCUGGCGGCAUGCCUUACACAUGCAAGUCGAACGGUAACGCGGGGCAACCUGGCGACGAGUGGCGAACGGGUGAGUAAUAUAUCGGAACGUGCCCUAGAGUGGGGGAUAACGUAGCGAAAGUUACGCUAAUACCGCAUACGAUCUACGGAUGAAAGUGGGGGAUCGCAAGACCUCAUGCUCCUGGAGCGGCCGAUAACUGAUUAGCUAGUUGGUGGGGUAAAGGCCCACCAAGGCGACGAUCAGUAGCUGGUGUGAGAGGACGACCAGCCACGCUGGGACUGAGACACGGCCCAGACUCCUACGGGAGGCAGCAGUGGGGAAUUUUGGACAAUGGGGGCAACCCCGAUCCAGCAAUGCCGCGUGAGUGAAGAAGGCCUUCGGGUUGUAAAGCUCUUUUGUCAGGGAAGAAACGGUGGGGGCUAAUACCUCCUGCUAAUGACGGUACCUGAAGAAUAAGCACCGGCUAACUACGUGCCAGCCGCCGCCGUAACAC